rnacentral:lncRNA from 1 species
CCUCCUCCAAAGCAGUCCCUCAGAACCCCUCCUGGUUUCAGUCUGGAUCCCACCACAUGUUGAAUGGCACCCUCUCAAUCUGGGACAGCGUCCGUUGAUUUUCUCCUGUGAUAAAUGAUUGUUGACAAACAUCCUGAAAUAACUUUAAAAGACGGAUUGGAAGAGUAUGAGGACCAUGGCUUAUUCUUAUUCACCAUUAUGUCCUUACAGUGCCUGGAGUAGGGAUGGCACAGAAGAACUAUUCAGCACAUGAAGCAGUGAAUGAAAAGACAAAAGGGCAAGAAAAGGAGAGAACAGUGGAGAAAAAAGAUUUUAAUUAAAUACAUGUGGGAAUUUAUCUCUGGC